UUAAGCAACUGAGAAAUAGUACCUGCCAAGUUCAUGACACAAUGUUACUAAUUCAAAUUUUAGCAUAUAUAGUGCUUAAGUGCUUUGUUGAGAAAAUCACAACCAAGGAAUGGACAACCGAAUGUAUUUCAUCAAAUAGUUUGUUUACUUUGUUCAAACCAAGUAAUUAAUUGUCUAAACUAGGUUCAUUUACUUUGUUAUCAGGCUUGAGCUGAAGUGAAGUUUAAAACUGAUCUCAAAUUUUCUGUUCAAACUUGGUUAGUUAAUUUUAUGAACAGGCUCAAACUUGAUUAAAU